UCCUGAAGAUUAAAAUAGUGUUCUUCAAUUAUUUUAAUGCCUAAUCUUUUACGUGAAGUGUGUAGUGAUUUUACAAAUACAUUUAGCUCUGUCAGGAAACUGAACAGACAGGCAAGAUGGAACACGCAUCCACACCCGACACACCCACAUCCUGUUUGAUCACCUGAUUAAGCUGAUAAAUACCCAACAGUACUCCCAAGUGAACAACACGUUAUGGAAAUUUUUGACAUAAACUGGUGUUCAAAGAUUAUCCUUUUCAGUAGAGUCACAUCUAGAACUUAUCCGGGCGUUUUAAUACAAACAUUUGCGGAGUUGGAGCGUGAUGAGGGAUAAUGAAGAUGAAAACCAACAUUUUGGCAUUAAAGUAAAAGUUGAGGAAAAUGUCAAAGAAAAAUGUGUCAUUAUAACAAUGAAGUACGGAAAAAAAACAAAAGAAAUUCAUAUUUCUACACUUAGCCUAAAGGAGAAAUUCUCGAAAGAGAAGAGAGCCUUAUUAGACUUUAUAGGUCCUUUUAAUGAAAAUACUGUAUUUAAAAAAAUUACUUUC